rnacentral:tRNA from 1 species
AGGGGGGUUCAAACAACAAGACCUGCUAACUCCUGUAUCUGAGUUUAAACCCUCAGCCCCCCUC